ACAAAGGUUUGGUCCUAGCCUUACUAUCAUCUGUUUCUCAUUUUACACAUGCAAGUCUCAGCACCCCAGUGAGAACGCCCUUUUAACCUACACCAGGAGAAGGAGCUGGCAUCAGGCACAAUCCAUGCCCAUAACACCUAGUCUCACCACACCCCCAAGGGUAAUCAGCAGUGAUAAAUCUUAAAUAUAAGCGAUAGCUUGAUUUAGUUAGAGAAAAGAGGGCCGGCUAACCCGGUGCCAGCCGCCGCGGCUACACCGUGGGGCCCAAGCUGAUAGUCACCGGCGUUAAGCGUGAUUAAAGCCCCCCCAACAAUUAGGGUUAAAUUAAUACUUAGUAGUGAUAAGCUUGUUAUUAAGAAAACCAUAAACGAAAGUUACCCUAAUUACACUUGAAUCCACGACAGCUG
rnacentral:rRNA from 1 species